rnacentral:tRNA from 1 species
GUUAUAGCGUAGCUGGUCUAACGCGCAAGAUUGUGGCUCUUGAGACCGUGGGUUCAAAUCCCACUAA